rnacentral:tRNA from 1 species
GAAAGUAUAGCUCAGUGGCUAGAGCAUUGGACUUUUAAUCCAUUAGUCUUGGGUUCAAAUCCCAAUAUUUUCA